rnacentral:rRNA from 1 species
AGCAGCCGCGGUAAUUCCAGCUCCAAUAGCGUAUAUUAACGUUGUUGCAGUUAAAAAGCUCGUAGUUGAAGUGUGGGUGAUCGCUGUUGUGAGACUUCGGUCUCUCGACAGUAAGUCACCCCCUUCCAGUAUCCAGUAGUGGGUAUUCACUUACUUACUAUUGUGUGUUGGUCCUUUACUGUGAGAAAAUUAGAGUGUUCAAAGCAGGCGUUUGCUUGAAUAGAUAAGCAUGGAAUAAUAAUUGAAGGCUUUCGUGUUCGAUUUGAUUGGUUUGUUCAUGGAAGCAAGGUUAAAAGGAACAGUUGGGGGUAUUCAUAUUCACUAGUUAGAGGUGAAAUUCUCGGAUUUAUGGAAGAUGAACAAGUGCGA